GAAUAAUUAGAUUGGGCUUUUGCUCCAAUUUGUCGGUUUCUGGAGCUGAGGUGAGAAUUAAUGGGGAUUGUUGGGGGCAUCCGAAUUCAGCCGUCAGAGGUGAAAUUCUUGGAUCGGCUAAAGACGGACAACUGCGAAAGCGUUUGCCCAGGAUGUUUUCAUUGAUCAAGAACGAAAGUUUGGGGAUCGAAGAUGAUUAGAUAC
rnacentral:rRNA from 1 species